rnacentral:lncRNA from 1 species
GGUGUGCAGCGACUUGCGCUCCAGCUCGCCGGUGGGCUUGAUGCUGUGGAAUAGGAUGGCGGUGCCCUUCUUGGGCUUGGCGGCCAGGUGGUAGCGCGCGCACUCGGAGAAGCCCACGUUCUCGCCACCGGGGGCUGCGAUGUUGGGGAACACGGUCUCGCCGCCCUCCUCGGUGUCCACCAGGUACAUGAGUACGGUGGCGUAGCGGUUGCCGCCGUUGGCAAUGCCGUCCUUGCUGCGGGGCGGAUGGGGGGAGGAGGGAAGCAGGGCGAGGGCAGCAGGUAGUCAGCAACAGGUUCCUAGGUGCCGAGGUCAAGUGGAGCGUUGCAGCUGGGGCAGACGAUACACGCACAUGCCUGCCAAAAUCGCCCUGCUGUUAA